UAAUCCGACCUAGGCUCAUCUGAUAGCGCAAGGCCCGAAGGUCCCCUGCUUUCUCCCGUAGGACGUAUGCGGUAUUAGCGUCCGUUUCCGAGCGUUAUCCCCCACUACCAGGCAGAUUCCUAGGCAUUACUCACCCGUCCGCCGCUCUCAAGAGAAGCAAGCUUCUCUCUACCGCUCGACUUGCAUGUGUUAGGCCUGCCGCCAGCGUUCAAUCUGAGCCAGGAUCAAACUCU
rnacentral:rRNA from 1 species